AUUGAACGCUGGCGGCAGGCCUAACACAUGCAAGUCGAGCGAGCGGCGGACGGGUGAGUAAUGUCGGGGAAACUGCCUGAUGGAGGGGGCUAACUACUGGAAACGGUAGCAAAUACCGCAUACCAUCAGAUGGGCCCAGUUGGGAGUAGCUAGUAGGUGGGGUAAGGGCUCACCUAGGCGACGAUCCCUAGCUGGUCUGAGAGGAUGACCAGCAACACUGGAACUGAGACACGGUCCAGACUCCUACGGGAGGCAGCGUUGGGGAAUAUUGCACAAUGGGCGCAAGCCUGAUGCAGCCAGGCCGCGUGUAUGAAGAAGGCCUUCGGGUUGUAAAGUACUUUCAGCGGGGAGGCGUUACCCGCAGAAGAAGCACCGGCUAACUCCGUGCCAGCCGCCGCGGUAAUAC
rnacentral:rRNA from 1 species